UACGUAGGGUGCGAGCGUUGUCCGGAAUUACUGGGCGUAAAGGGCUCGUAGGUGGCCAACUAAGUCAUACGUGAAAUCCCUCGGCUUAACCGGGGAACGGCGUCUGAUACUGGAUGGCUUGAGUUUGGGAGAGGGAUGCGGAAUUCCAGGUGUAGCGGUGAAAUGCGUAGAUAUCUGGAGGAACACCGGUGGCGAAGGCGGCAUCCUGGACCGGUAUUGACACUGAAAAGCGAAAGCCAGGGGAGCAAACGGG
rnacentral:rRNA from 1 species